GGUCUGGUGGUCUAGUGGUAUGAUUCUCGCUUAGGGUACACCCUAUGCUCGAUAUGCGAGAGGUCCCGGGUUCAAUCCCCGGCCAGACCC
rnacentral:tRNA from 1 species